rnacentral:misc_RNA from 1 species
CGGAACGCAAGUUUCAAAGUCAAACAAUACUGGUAGAGUGUGUGACCUUAAAACAUUCAAGGCCAUUGAAGAACGGUUUGUUUGAAAAUAUUAAAAAAAGCAACUUUAAUAUACUUGGUUGUAAAGAUCAUUUUCAAAAAGAUUAUCAACAGAGGAAAUUAAUCCAUAAUUUUUUAAGAAAAAUUAAAAUAUACAAUUCUUUAUUUAGUAAUAAGUACUGAAAUGGUAAUAUCGCCCAAAUUGUAUCAUGUUCAGAAAAUUCGGCAACUUUAAAGUCAUUAAUCGACUUCAUCAUGGGCUCUUCAUUAGCAGGAAUAUUACUAUUGAUAUUGGUUCAGACUUUUUCACCUCAUCUUAUCAACAUCUUGAUAAUUUAGUAACGUCAACAUCUAGGCCUCAACAUGUGGUAGAAGAUAUUAGCAGGCUCUGCAAUAAAAGAUAUGAAGAGUUAAACAAGCUUCCUCAUCUUCAUAAGAAUCCCUCUGUGGCUUAUAUUCAACUUCUAUUGAAUGAGCAACUUCCGACAGUAACCAAUGAUAUUCAGACAAAUGUAAACUUUAUUGAAGCUAAGAAUAUUAUAACUAAGAACAGUAGCAAUCUAUCUUCGACUGAGCUUGUAGAAGCUACUUAUAAUCUUCUUCUUCUCGGUGAAAACCCCAGUGAUGAGUUUAUGUCCAGAUUGAUGACCGACUGUGCUAUGAAAUCUUCAGAAUUUGAUAUAAAAGAGAUAUUAUUGUUUACCGAGCUAUUAAGAAGUGCUAACAAGUCUAUUCUCUGGUGGGGUAAACCCGUCUUGGAUCGUCUACUAUUACACGUCAGAGAUAAUAAUAGAAUAUGGAAAGAAGCUGAUGUAAGAUAUUUGUGUCGGUCGGUAAUUAAUUUAUAUACAAUAUUGUCCGACGAGGGCCUCUACGAAUUAAGUAAAAGAGUCUUUGAACUAUCCAAAAUUCCGGGAUUCCUUGAUGAUAUUGAAAAUGCAUCUUCUCUGAUAAGAACGACAAGCCAAUUUUCGUACAAAUUUAGGGAAAGUCAUUAUAGAACAGAAGUAAGAAAAUCUCUUCAAGACAUUAUUAAUCAAACGUAUCCACUUAUAUCUACCAUGAAAUCGGAUCAUAUAGCUGAAAUAUGUCAUAGUCUUAAAUCUUGUAUGUUCUAUCAAGCUCCUUUUUCUGACGAAGCUCAGAGGCGAGCUGUUGAACUUUUAAACAGAGAUCUACCUGUUAAAGAAAUAUCUAAUCUGUAUUUUGCUCUAAAUGCCCGAACUCCAUCUGACAUCGUUUACUUAUUCGAGCAAGCAAUUCUACCUCGCUUUAACGAUAUGGAUAUUGUUCUUUUAUCGAAUAUUGCCCUGUGCUUGAAUGAUAGUAAUUGUUCAAAUACUGAUGUUAUUUAUAAAUUUCAAGAGCAAGUUGCACGUCACGCUAACCUAUUGACGAAGUAUGUUUCUCGAUACGAGAAAGUCAUAAAAUUUAUUGUCAGACGUAAAUUUAUAGACGUUAAACAUCAAGAGAAGUUCACCGACGCUCUUAUGAACAAUCUAGAAAAGCAACAGUUUCUUGGUAACUGGAUUAUGCCAAAAAUAUGUUCCUACCUCAUCUCAGCUUGUACAACACAAUUAUCCGACAACCUUUACGACAAGUUAUUGAAUGCUAUGCAUAGGUGGUCUUUCUCUGGGUUAUAUAAGCUUGCGUCCGGCCUCAAUAUGAUUGACAGACAACAUAACCAGGUGCUUCAGCGUCAGAUAUCUAAUAUUAAGCGUCAUUUACAUUCAACUAUUGCUCAGAAGAUUGAUAAUGAGAAGAAUAUUAGCAUUGACUAUCUCUAUCAAUUAGCAACUGGACUGAUUGUUUUUAAUAAAAGUCGAGAUUCAGUUCUCACUGAAAAGGUGAUGGGUAAAUUUGUCGAAAGCACUAAAAACCUAGAUCCAAUUUCUGUCAAUAAAGUUGCUCGUACGUUUAGGGAUCUUCGCUAUCACCUUCCACCAGUCUACGACAAUCUUAUUGACUAUACAAUUAAUUGUAAUAAUCAAGAACUUAAUCUUACAUCCGUUAUGAACGUCUUAAGAAGUUGUGCUCUCGUCAACUACAAACCUAAGAACUUCAACGCUUUUCUUGAUAUCAUUUUUCAUUUUUACAAGGAGCUUAGGGAAAAUAAUUCAAUUUUAGCUCAAUUGAACUGCCUUCAGAAUUUGGCUCUUUUAGAAGUCUUCCCAAUUCAUAUUUUAUCCGAAAUGUUCACUUUGUCUAGCAUUAGCCUAAUUGAUGAAUUUAUGGAUAAAAACCCACAAUCCAGAUCGGAGAUAUUGCGAUUGCUCUUUUGCUUAAAUAGAGCUAUUAUUUUGGAAUGUCCUAGUUUAAAUAUUCCUUGGUUCAUGGAAUACUAUUCUAAAGAGUUUCGUUCACGCCCAUCCCGUCUGUCUCCGUUUAAUGAACGAUUCCUGAGAGAGGUGAAUAAUGCACUUGUGGAUUUACUGAAUGGAAAAGAGUAUUUCAGAUCUUCAGUGGAUAGCCCAUAUUAUCAUCAAAUAAGUUAUGAGUGCAUUUUGGACGAUAAAAAAAGACCAGUAGAGGUGUCAGGAGCAGAUAUUCCUGUGAGAGAAGAUUGGGAUAGAUUAGCAAUUUUGACUCUAUUUGAAAACAACUAUUGCUACGAUUCUCAUCGUUUGACUGGAAAUUUCUCUGUUCGAAACAAACAUUUAAAUAUAUUAGGAUAUCGAGUAAUUGAAGUUCCAUAUUUCGAGUGGUUUUCUAUGGGUUUAAGUGAUUGGAAGUCAAAAGUGCAUUAUUUAAGAAAAAAAUUGUUUUUUGAAUAGUUUUUUGUUAAAUAUAAAAUUGAAAAUAUGAAUUUAUAUCUCUAUUUUUCGAAGUCCGUGUAUAUUUUUUGUAUAGAAAAUCAUUAGUCUUUAAGUGGAACAAUUCCAUCAAGGCAUCAUCGAGGUAAGUUGUUUGUUGUUUUUGAGUUGUUACCUCGCGUGUCAGCCAAAACGUAUAUAAAGGGUGCCGUUUUCAGUCACAGUUAGGAGACCAAAUUGGUUGGUCUCUUCACUCUUUGGUUAUCAGCUCUAGUAAGUUGAAAUUUCUUUUUUCGAGUAUUUCUGGUUACAUAACUUUCGUUUUUUACAGAAAAAGUAGACAACUAGAGUAUUAUAGUACUUGAAACUCUGAAGAGGGCCCAAUGCCUGCUGUUGUCUUUAACGCUUCAUUUAGUUGGGCAAAUUCUGGUCAUUGGUACUCCCCAGCUGUUGGAAACUCCCAAUGACUUGAACUGACGAACAUAUUCUCUUGUGUUCACUCCUGUAUUCGCGCUAUUAUUGGCGACGAUAUGUUGUGGAUUCAACAAUUGUCGAGUAAUAGAGAGUACAAUUAGUGCCUACUAAAAAUGAAGGGUGCAUCUUCUUUUUUUUUACUGCAAGUGUCGAAAUUGAACCUACUCCUCUCCUUGACCAACCUCAACCUUCAUUUUUCUCCAAUGUGUCACGUUAAAUCACAAUGUGUUUGGUAUUAACAAUCGUGGUAGUGUGGUACAAUUGGUAGCUACGGGAACUGGAGAAUACAUCUUCUUUUUUUACACGCAAACGUCUAAACAAAGACAAUCACUUUUUUGUCUAAAUACCGAAAGCACUUUUUCAAGUUCGGCUGCAAGUUCUCGUCAUCAGUACCGCCUUCGUAUUAACUGCGAUAAAGUACUUGGAUAAGUAUUUGUCCAGUAAUAUGAGGGAAACUGAUGCCUGAUUGAGCUUUAGAAUAUAUCGGUUUUGAUUCUCAUACUUGAUAUUUAUUUGAUAUUUUGUCUAUUUGUAAUUGCAAAAUUUCACUUGUAUAAUUGUAACUGAAGGAAAGAAGAAAAUUUUAGAGCUGUUUUAACAGAAUAAAUUGAAAAAUUUACCAAUAGAAUUUUGAUCUUAUUCUCAUUAUUUCUAAUUAGCUUUCAAAAUUGUUCUUUAAACAAUCGGGA